GGUUAAGCGACUAAGCGUACACGGUGGAUGCCCUGGCAGUCAGAGGCGAUGAAGGACGUGCUAAUCUGCGAAAAGCGUCGGUAAGGUGAUAUGAACCGUUACAGCCGGCGAUGUCCGAAUGGGGAAACCCAGUGCAAUUCGUUGCACUAUCGUUAACUGAAUACAUAGGUUAACGAGGCGAACCGGGGGAACUGAAACAUCUAAGUACCCCGAGGAAAAGAAAUCAACCGAGAUUCCCCCAGUAGCGGCGAGCGAACGGGGAGCAGCCCAGAGUCUGAAUCAGCUUGUGUGUUAGUGGAACGGUCUGGAAAGUCCGACGGUACAGGGUGAUAGUCCCGUACACCAAAAUGCACAGGCUGUGAACUCGAAGAGUAGGGCGGGACACGUGGUAUCCUGUCUGAAUAUGGGGGGACCAUCCUCCAAGGCUAAAUACUCCUGACUGACCGAUAGUGAACCAGUACCGUGAGGGAAAGGCGAAAAGAACCCCGGCGAGGGGAGUGAAAAAGAACCUGAAACCGUGUACGUACAAGCAGUGGGAGCACCUUCGGGUGUGACUGCGUACCUUUUGUAUAAUGGGUCAGCGACUUAUAUUCUGUAGCAAGGUUAACCGUAUAGGGGAGCCGCAGGGAAACCGAGUCUUAACUGGGCGUUAAGUUGCAGGGUAUAGACCCGAAACCCGGUGAUCUAGCCAUGGGCAGGUUGAAGGUUGGGUAACACUAACUGGAGGACCGAACCGACUAAUGUUGAAAAAUUAGCGGAUGACUUGUGGCUGGGGGUGAAAGGCCAAUCAAACCGGGAGAUAGCUGGUUCUCCCCGAAAGCUAUUUAGGUAGCGCCUCGUGAACUCAUCUUCGGGGGUAGAGCACUGUUUCGGCUAGGGGGUCAUCCCGACUUACCAACCCGAUGCAAACUACGAAUACCGAAGAAUGUUAUCACGGGAGACACACGGCGGGUGCUAACGUCCGUCGUGAAGAGGGAAACAACCCAGACCGCCAGCUAAGGUCCCAAAGUCAUGGUUAAGUGGGAAACGAUGUGGGAAGGCACAGACAGCCAGGAUGUUGGCUUAGAAGCAGCCAUCAUUUAAAGAAAGCGUAAUAGCUCACUGGUCGAGUCGGCCUGCGCGGAAGAUGUAACGGGGCUAAACCAUGCACCGAAGCUGCGGCAGCGACACUAUGUGUUGUUGGGUAGGGGAGCGUUCUGUAAGCCUGCGAAGGUGUGCUGUGAGGCAUGCUGGAGGUAUCAGAAGUGCGAAUGCUGACAUAAGUAACGAUAAAGCGGGUGAAAAGCCCGCUCGCCGGAAGACCAAGGGUUCCUGUCCAACGUUAAUCGGGGCAGGGUGAGUCGACCCCUAAGGCGAGGCCGAAAGGCGUAGUCGAUGGGAAACAGGUUAAUAUUCCUGUACUUGGUGUUACUGCGAAGGGGGGACGGAGAAGGCUAUGUUAGCCGGGCGACGGUUGUCCCGGUUUAAGCAUGUAGGCUGGUUAUCCAGGCAAAUCCGGAUAAUCAAGGCUGAGGUGUGAUGACGAGGCACUACGGUGCUGAAGUAACAAAUGCCCUGCUUCCAGGAAAAGCCUCUAAGCAUCAGGUAACAUCAAAUCGUACCCCAAACCGACACAGGUGGUCAGGUAGAGAAUACCAAGGCGCUUGAGAGAACUCGGGUGAAGGAACUAGGCAAAAUGGUGCCGUAACUUCGGGAGAAGGCACGCUGGUGUGUAGGUGAAGCCCCUGCGGGUGGAGCUGAGACCAGUCGAAGAUACCAGCUGGCUGCAACUGUUUAUUAAAAACACAGCACUGUGCAAACACGAAAGUGGACGUAUACGGUGUGACGCCUGCCCGGUGCCGGAAGGUUAAUUGAUGGGGUUAUCCGUAAGGAGAAGCUCUUGAUCGAAGCCCCGGUAAACGGCGGCCGUAACUAUAACGGUCCUAAGGUAGCGAAAUUCCUUGUCGGGUAAGUUCCGACCUGCACGAAUGGCGUAAUGAUGGCCAGGCUGUCUCCACCCGAGACUCAGUGAAAUUGAACUCGCUGUGAAGAUGCAGUGUACCCGCGGCAAGACGGAAAGACCCCGUGAACCUUUACUAUAGCUUGACACUGAACAUUGAGCCUUGAUGUGUAGGAUAGGUGGGAGGCUUUGAAGCGUGGACGCCAGUCUGCGUGGAGCCAACCUUGAAAUACCACCCUUUAAUGUUUGAUGUUCUAACGUUGGCCCCUGACCGGGGUUGCGGACAGUGUCUGGUGGGUAGUUUGACUGGGGCGGUCUCCUCCCAAAGCGUAACGGAGGAGCACGAAGGUUAGCUAAUCCUGGUCGGACAUCAGGAGGUUAGUGCAAUGGCAUAAGCUAGCUUGACUGCGAGCGUGACGGCGCGAGCAGGUGCGAAAGCAGGUCAUAGUGAUCCGGUGGUUCUGAAUGGAAGGGCCAUCGCUCAACGGAUAAAAGGUACUCCGGGGAUAACAGGCUGAUACCGCCCAAGAGUUCAUAUCGACGGCGGUGUUUGGCACCUCGAUGUCGGCUCAUCACAUCCUGGGGCUGAAGUAGGUCCCAAGGGUAUGGCUGUUCGCCAUUUAAAGUGGUACGCGAGCUGGGUUUAGAACGUCGUGAGACAGUUCGGUCCCUAUCUGCCGUGGGCGCUGGAGAAUUGAGGGGGGCUGCUCCUAGUACGAGAGGACCGGAGUGGACGCAUCACUGGUGUUCGGGUUGUCAUGCCAAUGGCACUGCCCGGUAGCUAAAUGCGGAAGAGAUAAGUGCUGAAAGCAUCUAAGCACGAAACUUGCCCCGAGAUGAGUUCUCCCUGAGACUUUAAGUCUCCUGAAGGAACGUUGAAGACGACGACGUUGAUAGGCCGGGUGUGUAAGCGCAGCGAUGCGUUGAGCUAACCGGUACUAAUGAACCGUGAGGCUUAACCUU
rnacentral:rRNA from 1 species